AUAGAGGUAGUUAAAUAUAUAACUUUAGACUUGCACUUUAGAAUUGGGCUUUCCCCCUUUAUA
rnacentral:tRNA from 1 species